AAGUCGUAACAAGGUCUCCGUUGGUGAACCAGCGGAGGGAUCAUUACCGAGUUAUACAACUCCCAAACCCCCUGUGAACCUUACCACACGCGUUGCCUCGGCGGGACCGCCCCGGCGCCCUCGCGGCCCGGACCAAGGCGCCCGCCGGAGGACCACCAGACUCUCGUCGCAGUGGCAUUUCUCUCCGAGUCCAAACAAGCAAAAUGAAUCAAAACUUUCAACAACGGAUCUCUUGGUUCUG
rnacentral:misc_RNA from 1 species